rnacentral:rRNA from 1 species
AGGGCGCUGCUAUAAUGCAAGUCGAGCGGACAGAUGGGAGCUUGCUCCCUGAUGUUAGCGGCGGACGGGUGAGUAACACGUGGGUAACCUGCCUGUAAGACUGGGAUAACUCCGGGAAACCGGGGCUAAUACCGGAUGGUUGUCUGAACCGCAUGGUUCAGACAUAAAAGGUGGCUUCGGCUACCACUUACAGAUGGACCCGCGGCGCAUUAGCUAGUUGGUGAGGUAACGGCUCACCAAGGCGACGAUGCGUAGCCGACCUGAGAGGGUGAUCGGCCACACUGGGACUGAGACACGGCCCAGACUCCUACGGGAGGCAGCAGUAGGGAAUCUUCCGCAAUGGACGAAAGUCUGACGGAGCAACGCCGCGUGAGUGAUGAAGGUUUUCGGAUCGUAAAGCUCUGUUGUUAGGGAAGAACAAGUGCCGUUCAAAUAGGGCGGCACCUUGACGGUACCUAACCAGAAAGCCACGGCUAACUACGUGCCAGCAGCCGCGGUAAUACGUAGGUGGCAAGCGUUGUCCGGAAUUAUUGGGCGUAAAGGGCUCGCAGGCGGUUUCUUAAGUCUGAUGUGAAAGCCCCCGGCUCAACCGGGGAGGGUCAUUGGAAACUGGGGAACUUGAGUGCAGAAGAGGAGAGUGGAAUUCCACGUGUAGCGGUGAAAUGCGUAGAGAUGUGGAGGAACACCAGUGGCGAAGGCGACUCUCUGGUCUGUAACUGACGCUGAGGAGCGAAAGCGUGGGGAGCGAACAGGAUUAGAUACCCUGGUAGUCCACGCCGUAAACGAUGAGUGCUAAGUGUUAGGGGGUUUCCGCCCCUUAGUGCUGCAGCUAACGCAUUAAGCACUCCGCCUGGGGAGUACGGUCGCAAGACUGAAACUCAAAGGAAUUGACGGGGGCCCGCACAAGCGGUGGAGCAUGUGGUUAAUUCGAAGCACGCGAAAACCUUACCAGUCUUGACUCCUCUGACAUCCUAGAGAAGGACGUCCCUUCGGGGCAAA